rnacentral:tRNA from 1 species
CGGCCGUGCGUGUGGCAUCUGACUUUUAAUCAGAGGGUCGCUGGUUCGAACCCAGCACGGCUCA